UGAUUGCCUAGUAACGGCGAGUGAAGAGGCAAAAGCUCAAGUUUGGAAGCUCAAUGGUUUAACCAUUGCGCAUUGUAAACUGAAAACAGGAUCAAUCAGGUACACCGGGUGAUAAGUUCCUUGGAAUAGGACAUCAUGGAGGGUGAGAAUCCCGUCUUUGACCCGAGUCUAGUAUCUUUUGUAUUGGCCUGUUCAAGAGUCAGGUUGUUUGGGAAUGCAGCCUAAAGCUGGAGGUAAAUCCCUCCUGAAGCUAAAUAAUGGCGAGAGACCGAUAGCGAACAAGUACCGUGAGGGAAAGAUGAAAAGAACUCUGAAGAGAGAGUUAAACAGUACGUGAAAUUGCUUAAAGGGAAGCAUAUAAAGCUAGGAUGCGAUUGUUUUCUUCAGGUUGAGCUUUGGCUUGACUGUUCAGAAGGAUAAUCCGAGACAACAAGAAUUGGAAGAGAAGAAUAAGCCAUUGGGGAAGGUAAUCCUUCGGGAUGUUUAUAGACCUGAUGGUUCGCGCUUUUCUUUCGAUUGAGGUACGCUUUUUUAAAGGUUGUUGUCUGAAUGGCUUUAUAUGGCCCGUCUUGAAACACGGACCAAGGAGUCCACCUAAUGUGCGAGUAUUUGGGAGGUAAACCCAUAUGCGCAAUGAAAGUGACUAACCUAUGAGGGGGGUCCUUCGGGGCCUCUGCAAUAGGAUCGGGCAGGGACGUUUUAUACUGAACUGACUCAGAUAAAGCACAUUGGAUGGGACCCGAAAGAUGGUGAACUAUGCUUGGAUAGGGUGAAGCCAAAGGAAACUUUGGUGGAGGCUCGUAGCGAUUCUGACGUGCAAAUCGAUCGUCGAAUCUGAGCAUAGGGGCGAAAGACUAAUCGAACCAUCUAGUAGCUGGGUCCUGCCGAAGU
rnacentral:rRNA from 1 species